UUCGGGGAAUCCAGAGACAGGUGCUGCAGUGGCUGUCGUCAGCUCGUGCCGUGAGGUGUUGGGUUAAGUCCCGCAACGAGCGCCAACCCCUAUUCUCAGUUCGCCAUCACGUAAUGGUGGGCACUCUGUGGAGACUGCCCGGGUUAACCGGGAGGAAGGUGGGGAUGACGUCAAGUCAUCAUGGCCCUUACGCCUAGGGCUACACACGUACUACAAUGGUGGGUACAAAGGGCAGCAAAACCGCGAGGUCGAGCGAAUCUCAAAAAACCCAUCAUAGUCCGGAUUGCAGUCUGCAACUCGACUGCAUGAAGUUGGAAUCGCUAGUAAUCCCCGGAUCAGCAUGCCGGGGUGAAUACGUUCCCGGGCCUU
rnacentral:rRNA from 1 species